AGAAAAUUAAGUUAAUAAAACUAUUAAACUUCAAAUUUAAAAUUAAUAUAAUAUUAUUUUCUA
rnacentral:tRNA from 1 species